CAUCACAAUGCUGUAUGGAAUGCAGGGAUUUAAGAGGGUGACUAUCCAUCCAGUAGGAAAGCAGGUUCCGUCCCUGGAGAAUGAACAUCUUGAAUUAAAAUAUGCGUGAAACAGAGACUCAGGAUGGGUCUUAGAAGUAAAAUCAACAGGAAUCCCUGCCUAUGGAGAGACAAGAUUGUCUCCCAGCUGUCCAUCUUGAGCAAUGGAGUAGCUGAGAAAGACUAGGAUUAGCACAGACUUACAAGUAAAACAAACAUCCAGUUUUGAACACAUUAGAAUAGAGAAGAAUGUGGAUGCUACAUCAACAUUUGGAUGUGUGGCAUUGUUUGUCACACAGACAGGGGCUGAAGACAAAAUUGGGAGGCUCAGCAUCUGAGUAGUAUGUUAAACCAUGGUGACGGAAGACACGACCCAGGAAGAGUAGGGCCAGGGAAGGAAAGUGUUUGGGCAGACUCCUAGGAAACUCUAACACCUGACGAUGAGGCAAGAACAAUGAGGCUGACAGUGAUGAAGCAGAAAGGCUGAAAGGAAAUCAGGAGCGCGGUGUUCACAGAACCUGUCUGUGAAGGGAGCAGAGAGCACACUUGAGGGCUCCGAGAAUCACAUCAAGGCGCUUGUGCAGGAAGGCGCUCGCCCUGGCCUUCAGAGGGAGGCGAGCACCUCCUUUUGUUUGUCAGGGAAGAAGAACAAAGACGUAUCUGAAUCAGGGGCCCAAGAAUAAAUAUUUUAAGGUUUUCACGCCACAUGGUCUCUGUUGAUAGGACAUUGCUAUUACAGCACAAGGGCAAUCACAGAAAAUAAGAACACAAAUGGUCAUGGAUGGAUUGCAGUGAGAUUUAUUUAUGGACAUUGAAAUUUGAGUUUCAUAGAAUUUUUACGUGUCAUGAAAUAUUAUUCAUUGUUUUUUCCAUCUACUUAAAAUGGAAAAACCAUUGUAUGCUGGUGGGCUGUUCAAAAAUGGGCAGAGAGGCAGUUUUGGCUGGUGAGCCAUGUUGUACUCUAUCCUGCUCUAGGUGCUGUGGAACACUUAUCAAAAUUUGUGCAUGGAAUUUGGGAGGGUGGGGAGCAGCAUGUUUUGCUGAGAACUCUGUUCCUUGAUGAGGCAGUCUUAAACUGAGAUAAAAAGCAGGUUUGAAUCACCGAAGAAGUGAAGAAGUAUGUGGUUCACACAGCAGUGCGUGUGCAGAGGGCAGGGUUAAAAUCCAACAGAACAGUGGCGAUGUCAACCCAAUGGAAGGGACGAGGCUGCCUGGAGACCCUGAGUUGCAAACCGGAUCUUCAAGGAGGGUCAGAGAUUAUGAAUUCAGUUAAAAAUAUGACGCAGUAUUAAAGCACUGAAGAGACAACACAGAAGCGAUGACGUGCCACAUCGUGGCUGCUUUCAAGUGACAAUAAUCACAUUUAGUAAUUUCUGGUUUAAGCAAAUUGCCUCUGAAUGAUACAAAAACAGAGACUGGUUGUGGUGUAAAUGUCCAGGCAUUCCCAACCAGGCCAGCGGGCUGCAGUGCACGCACAUCUGGUCGGCAUCUGGCGUGCACACAGGAGAACAUGCAUCAUAUUUGUUCUGCAUGUUAAACUCGGGUGUAGCUGGAGAAGUUCAUGCUCAUUCCAGGUUCAGGAAAAUUCGGUCAGUUUGGGAACAGAGUUUAUAAGGCCCUAAAUGCAGGUCCUACUUACAGUUUCUGUGGCGUCUAGUGUAAGCUCCUGGAGCAUGAUCGCACCUUAACACCAACUCAGCCUUCAUUUCUUCUGGAAUGGUGCAAGACAGGUUUGCAUAAUGUUCCCCAAGAUUGGAAAAAUAACAGUAAAUGCCAGGGCAGUCCCUAUGUGUAUUGGAAACAGGUUCUUGGUGAAGCCACCACAUUGAAUUUUUAGAAAACCUCUUUUCUUGGAGCUUAUGUUUCAAGAGUGAAUUCAGAGUUUGAACUCUACUGUUUGGCGUCUGGAAUGUUCUUCAGUGAUCAAACUUACCAUAUUUCAAUAGAAGGAGUAACAGCAAUGUUUGAGAGGCAGAACUCCAGCUAGCUCAUGACACCAUGCUCUGAUUUUCCUCAGUGAUCUGAAGUUCCAGAACUAUUGCAACUGUGAUGACUUCAUGAGCAUUUUCAUCUUGCUGCAGCCAUCCCAUCAUUUUGUUCUCUUUGAUAAAUCAUAGCAGCUAUGAGAAUGUGCUGCAUGCUCAGCAAUGUAUCAUUAUGUUUGGAGAAGCACAUCUUUGCCAACACUGACUUUCAAGGCGCAAGGAUCAACACCUGUGAAAGAAUCGCUCCACCGCCAUCAAACAUGAACAUACUUGAAUAUCAGUGUCGUUACAGCACUUCCUCUGGUUUAUGAAUGGGACUGAUUAUUUUUCCAGACAGUUCAUAGCAUCUGCUAGUGCCUAAAACUCUCACUGAUUUCAGGAUUGCACUUUUGGUUAUGUAAUAUGUACUCUGAAUACACCAGGCUACUUUCCAGUUUACUUCCAGAUACAAUUUUUUUUUAAAUUUAUUUGACAGGUAGAGAUAUAGAGAUAGUGAGAGAGAGAUACAGAGAGAAAGGUCUUCCUUCCAUUGGUUCACUCCCCAAAUGGCUGCUACAGCCGGCGCUGUGCCAAUCCGAAGCCAGGAGCCAGGUGCUUCUUCCUGGUCUCCUAUGCAGGUGCAGGGGCCUAAGCACUUGGGCCAUCCUCCACUGUCUUCCUGGGCCACAGCAGAGAGCUGGACUGGAAGAGGAGAAACCGGGACUAGAACCCGGCGCCCAUAUGGGAUGCCAGCACCACAGGCAGAGGAUUAACCAAGUAAGCUACAGUGCCGACCCCUCCAGAUGCAAUUUUAAGGUCUGAGGUUAAUCAGUAAGAGCACAGGGGAUCUGGAGUUUGGCGAUCCUAAAGAAAGACAGCCUCCAUCUCUACAUAUCUUCAUGAUGGUUUACGUAGAUCAGUGGGUACUGUAUUUUACCUCCUGCAAACUGGCAAUUCCUAACCAAUUAACUUCAACUAUGGAACUGGCUCCUGCCAUUGGUUUGACGAAGUCAUAUCUACUGUUUUAAGUCUAUGACCCUGAGCAUACUGAGAUCAUUACAGGGGAGGGAGGGAGAUGUUUUCUGUAUAUUACAGUAGAGGCUCCUUACUGUAAAAAUCCUUAUUGUUAACUGAAUUUUUUAAAGACAAACCAAUAAACCAAUUGGUCAUACAACUCUAAUUAUCCUGAAAGUGAUGGAAAACAGUAAUAGCUAUUGUCAGAAAUUAAAAGAAUGACUGGUGUCAGUAAACAUUUGCUAGAAUACAAUUAAUGCAGAUGAGGGUGUGCUUUCUUUCCAGUGCUCUAAAUCAGACGAAAUUAGCAUUUGAAGAUAUUUCCUGUUUGGUUAAGUAACUCGCAGGAUAUGAGAAACACUUAAAAUUUGAAAUUAUUUUAAAUAAAUGGAUGCUUUUUCUGUCUAAGGUUCAUUUAAGAUUUCUAAAAUUAGUUUCAGUCCUGUACAACUUUAAUACAGAUCGGGUGUUUUAAAAUAUUUAUGAUAAAGAAAAUGAUUCCAUCUGGGUAGGGAAUUUUUAUUACUAGAAUAUCAUACCAAUUUGAAUUAAAGCCACUGUGAGAUUAAUUUCUUCUCUGCUGUUGGAAUAUAAAUGUGUUCUGACAGCUGCUUUCUGUAACUGAAGUAUACUUAUUUGCAUGCAAUAGCUUCUACUCAAUGAAAUAAUAUAUAUCAGAGAAACUUUGAAUGGUUUAAGCAACAAACAAAGAUUGAUUAUCAAUGCAAAUGCCAACCAGGGAUUUAUUAUAAAUAACAAAAUAUUGGCAAGUCCAUGGUCUGAAGUCAACACUGGUUAUUUACAGCUUUUAUAAAGACAAUUGAGAAUUUCAGAAGAACUUUCUGAUGUUAAAAAAAUUAAAGAAUUACACAAAGGGAAAAGAUGGCCUUGGUCCAACACGUUUUUCAGAUUUAUUAAUGAUGAAUACAUCAGGCACUCUUUAUUGGAUUAUAUUCCCUUUUACCAUGGCUAAAAGCUGACAGGAUGAGUAUUAUUACAGUAAUAUGUCAUGAGGGAUGUGUACUGAUACAAACAUUUGUGUAAUACAAUUGGAGUCUGAGUAGGUGCCGUUAUCUACAAUAGUUUAGGCAUCCAUGAUGAAAGGAAAAGAUUUCAAUGUAAGAAGCUACAUUUGGACAAGAUCAUAGUCAAAGUGGAAGUUCUCUCCUCCCUUCAGAGAAAGGUAUCUCCUUCUUUGAUGGCCUGUUCUUUCCACUGGGAUCUCACUUGCAGAGAUCUUUCAUUUAGGGUUUUUUUUUUUUUUUUCCAGAGUGUCUUGGCUUUCCAUGCCUAAAAUACUCUCACAGGCUCUUCAGCCAGAUCUGAAUGCCUUAGGGGCUAAUUCUGAGGCCAGAGUGCUGUUUAGGACAUCUUCCAUUCUAUGAGUCUACUGUGUAUCCCGCUUCCCAGCUUCCCAUGUUGGAUCAUUCUCUCCUUCUUAAUUCUAUCAGUUAGUAUUAGCAGGCACUAGUCUUGUUUAUGUGAUCUCUUUGACUCUUAGACCGAUCAUUAUGAUCAAUUGUGAACUGAAAUUGAUCACUUGGACUAGUGAGAAAGCCAUUGUAUUCCAUAAACUGUACUUUGGAAAUUUAUAUUUAUUAAAUAAAAGUUAAAAAAAAGAAACUACAUUUGUCAUGCUUUCUACAGGAACAAUCCCAUCUAAUUAAGAAGAGACAAUAACAAAAGGUAUGGAAGUCACCAGAUUUUUUUAAGACUUUUUUAGCAAUAAAGUUACAGUCAGAGAGAAGGCAAGAUAGAGAGAAAGGUCUUCCAUC